AUCUCAUCGGUGGAUGACUCGGCUCGAAAUACGAUGAAGGACGCAGCGAACUGUGARAAGCAUCGUGAACUGCGGAUAUCAGCGAAUCGAUGGAUCUCCCAA
rnacentral:rRNA from 1 species